UGUCCAGACUCCUACGGGAGGCAGCAGUGGGGAAUAUUGCGCAAUGGGCGAAAGCCUGACGCAGCGACGCCGCGUGAGGGAUGAAGGUCUUCGGAUCGUAAACCUCUGUCAGCAGGGAAGAACGGUCACUGUGCUAAUCAGCAGUGAAUUGACGGUACCUGCAAAGGAAGCACCGGCUAACUCCGUGCCAGCAGCCGCGGUAAUACGGAGGGUGCGAGCGUUAAUCGGAAUUACUGGGUGUAAAGGGAGCGUAGGCGGCUGUGUAAGCCAGAAGUGAAAGCCCGGGGCUCAACUCCGGGACUGCUUUUGGAACUACAUGGCUUGAUUGCAGGAGAGGCAAGUGGAAUUCCUAGUGUAGCGGUGAAAUGCGCAGAUAUUAGGAGGAACACCAGUGGCGAAGGCGGCUUGCUGGACUGUAAAUGACGCUGAGGCUCGAAAGCGUGGGGAGCAAACAGGAUUAGAUACCCGGGUA
rnacentral:rRNA from 1 species